GGCCGAGAGUAAGGCGGGGCAACGGGCAGGGAGGUGCUUAACAGUUCUGUCAUGCCUCAUAAAUUACAUCUGUUUUUUUUUUUUAAUCUGUUGCAUUUAACAUCUAUAUAGAUAGCAUAUUCUUCUAUAAUUACAAUAUGGAAAUGUCUAUGACCAAAUAAACUUUUUGUCAUAUGUUGAGGAAAGAACGGUGGUAGUAGUGAAAGUCGCUGGGUCGCAUCCGACUCUGCGACCCCAUGGUCUAUACAGUCCAUGGAAUUCUCCAGGCCAGAAUACUGGAGUGGGUAGUAUUUCCUUUCUGCGUGGCAUCUUCCCAAACCAGGGAUCUAACCCAGGUCUCCCGCCUUGCAGGCGGAUUCUUUACCACCUGAGCCACAAGGGAAGCCCUGUUAGUAAGAUUCAUCCAGUGUUUUAGCAACAACAUCUAAGCAGCCACGCCUCCUGGAAAUUUUGAGGAUUUGGGUCACUUUGCUCUCCCCCUCCGGAUGCGAGGAAAACAUGCACUGGGCACAGUGGAGAGGAGGAAGCUGGCGGGUUCCGCGGACCAGAGGCGCUGCUGCGGCGGGGCUCCACGCCGCCAUGCCCGCAGAGGCGGCCGGCCUUCCCAGCUGGAAGGCCAAACUCCACAUGGCUCGGUUCCAGAGACACAAGGUCAAAACCUACAGUCUGAGACUGGAGGACUAAGAGCCAUCUGAAGUGUGUGGAGAAG
ensembl:lncRNA